CAGGAAGAUAAUUAACCUCUAUUUUAACAAACAUUUUUCUUCUUGAAAUGAAAUAUUCUUUUAGAUACCAAAAUGAAUUAAAAUUGAGUGAUUACUAUUAAAGCUGCAAAAUUAUUUGGGAGACUGAGAUAGAAGGAUCACUUGAGCUCAGGAGUUCGAGACCAGCCUGGGCAACCGUGAAACUUUGUCUCUACUAAAAAUAAAAAAAAAAAAAUAUUAGCCAGGAGUGGUGGCAUGCACUUGUGGUCCUGCUGCUUAGGAGGCUGAGGCAAGAGGAUCAUUUGGCCCCAGAAGAUGGAGGCUGCAGUGAGCUAUGAUCAUACCACUGCCCUCCAGCCUGGGCGACAGGGCGAGAAGCCUAUCUCAAAAAAACAAAACAAAACAAAACAAAAUGCAAAAUUAUCAAAAUAGGUUAAAAUUCAAAAGAUGUUUUAAUUCAUAAAAUUUAAACCAAUUGUAAAUAUUGAGAAGAUUCAGUGAUAUCUGCAGAGUGCUUCAGAGCACGUUCUCUGGAGCAAUGCUCUUAGUACGAGUCUUUAUUUUUGCUGCCUCACCAUUUAUUCUGUUUGUUUCAUUUAAUGUGUAGUGAUGUAUUAUUUGGGUUAGAUUUUCCUGGAGCUAGGUCACCACUGGGUGUUUUUCUCCACUCUGAUCACAAAUUUUCCUCCUUCGUGUUAGGAUGAAUAAGAUGUUUGAUGUAAACAAAUUGAGCACAUGCAGACCUUGUAGGAGUAUAGCCAAUUUUUAUGUUUUUGUUCGGAGAUGGGAAACAAUAAGAUAAUUUUUAAAAAGGAAUAUAAUCGGCCGGGCCCAGUGGCUCAUGCGUGUUAUCUCAGCACUUUGGGAGGCCAAGAUUGGGGGAUCAUUUGAGGUCAGGGGUUUGAGACCAGCCUGGCCAACAUGGCGAAACCCUGUCUCUACUAAAAAUACAAAAAAAUUAACCAGGCAUGGUAGUGUGUGCCUGUAGUCCCAGCUACUUAAGAGGCUGAGGCAGGAGAAUCACUUAAGCCCAGGAAUCGGAGGUUGCAGUGAGC
rnacentral:lncRNA from 10 species